rnacentral:tRNA from 1 species
GGGUGUAUAGCUCAGUGGUAGAGCACAUGCUUAGCAUGCAUGAGGUCCUGGGUUCAAAUUCCCAGUACCUCCA